rnacentral:rRNA from 1 species
GACAGAGGCCUCGAGCGUUAGGCGGAAUCACUGGGCUUAAAGCGUGUGUAGGCGGACCGUUAAGUACCUUGUGAAAUCCCACGGCUCAACCGUGGAACGGCUGGGUAUACUGGCGGUCUUGAGCCACCUAGGGGCGAGCGGAACAAACGGUGGAGCGGUGAAAUGCGUAGAUAUCGUUUGGAACGCCAAUGGUGAAAACAGGUCGCUGGGGAUGAGCUGACGCUGAGACACGAAAGCCAGGGGAGCAAACGGG